GAGCAGCCUUGUGCCUUUAUUUGCUGUCCAGAAGAUAUUCUGUCUUCCAAAGGAGGAAAAACCCAAACCCUACAAUGCUAGCAAACCCAGCAGAGGUGGAAUAUCACAGAAGAAUGCACAGAGAAGUGCAGCCAUCCCCAUCCUUUAGAUCAAGGAAAAAUCAGUUGUGUUACUAUAGAAAGGCUGAUAGCAUCAGCUGCCAGGAAAACCAGAAAAAAUGGGCUGUCACGAAUCAGAAUCACUGCCCUGCCCCACGCCAUCAGCAAAACCAGUUUGUCUAAAAGUGAAUAAAAGCUAGGUAAAAAGGAAGGGCAUUUAAAUCUUUGUUUUGC
rnacentral:lncRNA from 12 species